UGGCGAGAGUUGAAUGAUGAAAAAAUCAAGAGAAAAAUUUAGAAAAUAGAGGAUCUAUCCAUUUUCAUGAUUUCUCUGAUCAUUAGCUGAUCACCGAUGGUCAUGACCUAUGGAGAAGAUAGCGAAUAGGUGAGGUGUCAUGAUCCAGAGGUGCGUCUCUGUGAGUGACGACGGCGGUGGUCGAAAAAAGGGGAAAAAGACUCAACCAAAAUAGGAGAAAAAUAGGGUUG
rnacentral:lncRNA from 1 species